GGAAAAAGUAGGUAAUGAAGGCGUAGGCGCAACUCACCAUUUCAGCGUACCGUCCCUUCUUCUCACUAAGCCACUUCGUCCCUGCGUUUGAGAGUGGAAUUUCGUGUGUCUUUUAAGAGAAGGGUGAAAUCUUGAAAUCUACGAAGGAACGCCAAAAGCGAAGGCAGCUCUCUGGGUCCCUACCGACGCUGGGGUGCGAAAGCAUGGGGAGCGAACAGGAUUAGAACCCUGGUAGUCCAUGCCGUAAACGAUGAGUGUGAACCAGGCGUACUACU
rfam:Gossypium raimondii Chr07_contig_538, whole genome shotgun sequence.